UCGAAAUGGGGCUUCAUUGGGGUCUGGGGACAGAGUAAGGCAGCGGGCGGCUCCCUACGGGGUCUUGAUACCCAAAGCGCCCCCCCCCCCACUUUAAAAAAAAAAAGUCAGGGAAGCAAAGGUUGGAGCGGAUGGAAGAACGCAUCACCCCCUAAUGAUGGCACCUACAGGACCAGUAGGCAAAUUUAGGAAAAAAAGUCAUGAGAGCACUUGGGACCAAUCUCAGACAGACCAGAAAACAAAGUUUGCUAAAGUUUACUAAGGUGUGUCAAACUUGCGGUCUGCGGGCUGGAUGCAUCACUCACUGGCCAGGCCUACCCCCAUUUUAGUGAAGGGGGAAAAAGUCAUGAUACAUCAUGUGACAACAACGUGACGAAGUGAGUUUGAUCCCCCCCCCCGGCCUAUAAGGUCAGAACUUGGGCAGGAAGAGAUGGCCUGUCUUCCAUUAGGAGACAGAGGUGAAUGAGCAGUUAUUUCACUAUUAAAUAGAGAUCUUCGGAAAGUCUGAAGUCAUUCUACAAAAUGAAAGGACUUUUGAAAAAAAAAUGACAGAUAUGCUCCUGGGUUACCAAACUUCAAUGAAAUAACGACAGGGCAAAGCUGUUCUUGAAAUAAGAUGAACACGGGAAGUUUCCUGUGCUUCCUAAUUCAGCAGACUAUUAUGGCAUGUAUUUUGAGACUGCUUUCCUUCCACAGCUUUGAAUCUGAAUAGAGAACUUGCUUUGAGUUUUGUACUAGUUAUCCAAGAGAGUGUACCGGUAAUAGCUUCACUAAAU